UUAGAGAUAUAUAAGCCGCCGAAAAUAAGCCGCCCUCUGUGAAGCGUGAUCAUGUCGAACGGCACAUACCUUCCCGAAGAAAACCUGUUUGACAUACUCUCUCGACUGCCGGUGAAGUCUCUCUGCCGAUUCAAGUGCGUAUCGAUCCCAUGGCGUAGUUUAAUCACAGACCAUCGUUUUGUCAAAACACACCUCAAUCGAAACAACAGAUGUGAGAAGAUCAUCAUCGACGGUGACUCUCUUUACUCCGUCGACUGUACUGAAGCAUCCAAUAACCAUGCCGUCACUGCAACCAAGCUCGACCAUCGAAUAUUCAUUGUACCAACAUCGUGGGUUCUUGCAACGGCUUGAUUUUAGUGGCGGAUUCUGAACAACCCGUUGAACCCAUCCACUAAAGAAUUCAAGGAAUUGCCCAAAUUUCAUCGUCUCUCCGGACCACCCAUUCCUAAAUUCAGAAUGUAUGGUUUUGGGUACGAUUCAUCUACAGAUGAUUACAAGGCUGUGGUAGUUUGGGAUACACAUAUAAGUUUCUAUACAUCGAGAAUUGGUUCCUGGGUUUUUAGGUAUGUUUCUCAUUUCCCCUAUUAUCCUAUUCUUCUUGGGACAGAGUCAUUCUCGGUUGGAGCUCUUGUAAAUGGUUCUUUACAUUGGUUAGCUAAUAAAAAAUGUUCCGUUGAUUCUCCAUAUGUGAUUUGUGCAUUUGAUGUAACAAAUGAGAAACUCCGGGAUAUAUUGGUACCUUGCUCUCUUGAAAACUGUAAGAAGUCAAGUGGUUUGGGGGUUCUUGGAGGGUGUCUCGCUAUGGUUGUAUGUCAUAAUCAUUCGAAAACUGAUGUUUGGGUGAUGAAGGAGUAUGGGGUGACUGAGAGUUGGACCAAAUUUUUAACAAUCGAUUUGUGGUCAUUUUGCCGAACCCCGCGAAUGAUUUCUAUGGUGAAUGGGGUAGUUCUACUGGAUGUAGAUGACAACACAUUGGUUGGAUACAUUUCUGAGGAAGAGGAAUCAUGGGAUAUAAAGGUGAAUGGCAUUCCGUCUAAGUUUCGAGCAAAGAUGACCUAUGUGGAGAGCCUUAUCUCGCCCCCAUUACCAACUUUAUAAAGGCAUUGAAAACUUGAGAAAGAGGUGAUGUUGGAGCAUGGUAUGGAGUUAAAAGUCCUAGAUAUGAAGCUUUUCUGUACUUUGAACGAGAUUAUGAAAGAUCUGGCUUAUCCUUGGAGAGAAGAUCAAGAAAGAAAGAUACGAUAUCCGGCUUUGGAGGGAAUAGGGGUGCGACACAUAUAAAUCAAAAAAAGCCUUCAAAGCUUUCAUUUUUUGUUUUUUUCCCUGUUUUUCUCUUGUUAGAGUAUAUUAUAUAGUUGUUAUUAUUUUUUCAGGGUUUACAUGUAAGUAUACAAUAUAGUUAUUAUUUAUAUAUGGGGCGCGGCACAUAUAUGUGUUUAUUGAAAAAUGAAA